CACCCCCCCACAAGCACCCCCAGGCGAAGGGGAGACUAGAAAACGCCUUUCAUUUUCCCCCCUUCAGCGGUCCUAGCCGCCUUCCUUAACAAGCCCUCGAGCCUCCUUUGCGCCGCCUUCCUCAUAGAAGCCGCUGGGUUGACCCCGAAGGCCGAAUUCAAUGGUAGAGAAGGCUUUAAUAAGAAUUUGGCCAUGAGAGACAUUCUUAAGUAUUGCAAAAGAGGGGGCCUGCUGAUAGAGCUGGACGGGGAGGCGAUACUUGUUAUCAGGUCAGAGAGAGGGUUGGCCCGUAAGCUGGCCCCCUUUAAAAGCCAUUCCUUAUUAAUAAGGAUUUUUUACACGCGAUGUGCCGAUGACUUACUACUGGGAAUCGUGGGUUCCGUAUUUCUUCUCAUAGAAAUACAAAAAAGUAUCACCCACUUCCUACAAUCCGGUCUGAACCUUUGGGUAGGCUCCGCGGGAUCAACAACCAUAACUGCACGGAGUACGAUAGAAUUCCCCAUUACGGUCAUUCAAGAAGUCCCCCCGAGGACGACUCCCAUACAAUUCUUGCGAGAGCUGGAGAAGCGUCUACGGGUAAAGCACCGUAUCCAUAUAACUGCCUGCCACCUACGCUCUGCCAUCCAUUCCAAGUUUAGGGACCUAGGUUACAGUAUCCCUAUCAAAGAGCUGAUGAAGGGGAUGAGCGGAAGAGGUUGUCUACUGGACGCAGUUCAACUAGCGGAGACUCUUGGAAAAGAUGGACUAAAAAGUCCCCAAGUUAGCGUAUUAUGGGGGACCGUCAAGCACAUCCGGCAAAGAUCGAGGGGGAUCUCGUUGUUGCAUAGCUCAGGUCAGAGCAAGGUGCCAUCAGGCGUUCAACAGGCAGUCUCACGAUCGGGCAUGAGUGUCAUGAAGAAGAAAUUGUAUACUCCCUUUGGCCAGGAGGCGGCGGGGGAAGGAAGGGGACACUGGGCGGGAUCUUUCAGCAGCGAAUUCCCCAUACAGAUAGAGGCGCCUAUCAAAAAGAUACUCCGAAGGCUUCGGGAUCGAGGUCUCAUUAGCAGAAGAAGACCCAGGCCAAUCCACGUGGCCUCUUUGACCAAUGUCAGCGACAGAGACAUAGUAAAUUGGUCCGCGGGCAUCGCGAUAAGUCCUCUUUCCUACUACAGGUGCUGCGACAACCUUUACCAAGUCCGAACGAUUGUCAACUACCAGAUCCGCUGGUCCGCUAUAUUCACCCUAGCCCACAAGCACAAAUCUUCGGCACGGAAUAUAAUCCUAAAGUACCCAAAAGACUCAAAUAUAGUCAAUCAAGAAGGUGGUAAGACCCUUGCUGAGUUCCCAAACAGCAUAGAGCUUGGGAAGCUCGGACUCGGUCAAGAUCCGAACAACGAAGGAGCACUCAACUACAUGUUUAAUAAGUAG
rnacentral:rRNA from 1 species